AUUGAACGCUGGCGGAAUGCUUUACACAUGCAAGUCGAACGGCAGCACGGACUUCGGUCUGGUGGCGAGUGGCGGACGGGUGAGUAAUGUAUCGGAACGUGCCCAGUCGUGGGGGAUAACGUAGUGAAAAUUACGCUAAUACCGCAUACGAUCUAUGGAUGAAAGCGGGGGAUCGCAAGACCUCGCGCGAUUGGAGCGGCCGAUAUCAGAUUAGGUAGUUGGUGGGGUAAAGGCCCACCAAGCCAACGAUCUGUAGCUGGUCUGAUAGGACGAACAGCCACACUGGAACUGGGACACGGUCCAGACUCCUACGGGAGGCAGCAGUGGGGAAUUUUGGACAAUGGGCGAAAGCCUGAUCCAGCCAUUCCGCGUGCAGGGUGAAGGCCCUCGGGUUGUAAACUGCUUUUGUACAGAACGAAAAGGUUUCUACUAAUACUAGGAGCUCAUGACGGUACUGUAAGAAUAAGCACCGGCUAACUACGUGCCAGCCGCCGCCGUAA
rnacentral:rRNA from 1 species